rnacentral:rRNA from 1 species
UGAUGCGAUCAUACCAGCACUAAAGCACCGGAUCCCAUCAGAACUCCAAAGUUAAGCGUGCUUGGGAGAGAGUAGUACUAGGAUGGGUGACCUCCUGGGAAGUCCUCGUGUUGCAUUCCC